ensembl:lncRNA CCDC26 CCDC26 long non-coding RNA
GCUACAGUGCUACUGGCCCAUAAUCAGGCAACUGCAGAGUCUUAGGGGGUUAUCUAAUGUAGUCUUGGGGUGGCUGGAUAGACUUCCCAAAGAAGGUGAUGCCGAAGCUGAGGUCGGAAAUUACGAAGAUCAGCUAUAAAGACUGUUUACAGAUAGGCUUUGAGAUAAUGCCACUGAGACAUCACUGCUACUACCAACAUGGCUGUUUCAUGACCUCGUGUAAGAAGACUUCUCACGCCGUCCCUGUUCAUGAAUCAUAACCAGAGAUUGUGCCUGCAGCCUGGCCUGUUGCCCACAGCGGUCUACCUGCCACACUGGGAAAGAUCGAGCAGAGACAGAGAAGAAAAGGAGGCUCCAUUUUUCAGGCUGCUCUCCCGCAGGCUCAUGUUUUGUGUUCAUGCCAGGCAGAGAACACAAAAUGUUCCAAUAAAUAAGUAUCAAAGGUUAGUGGUGAAAAUGAAGGAGGAGGAGGCAUUGCGUGAAAAACUAAACAUGCAAAAUAUUACACACAAAGAGAACCAAAAUGCAGGUUCACUGGAAAUGAUAGACAAUAUGUUAAAACAAGAGGAGAGAAGAGAGCUGAAAUAAUCAAAUGGAAACACACAAUUUAGGGCUAAGAUCUUGUUGUGUUCAGCCACAAAUGAUGGCCAGCAGUGAGGAAUCUGUGUGUUCUCCACACUCUUCGCUCCUGGGAAGUCAACUCACAUGGACCAUGAUAUCAAUAUCUGCUCCUUCCCCUAAUAUCUGUUUGACCUUGGGUCAGUUACUUAAACUUCCUAAGCCUUAGUUUCUUUGUCUGGAAAAUAGGGAUAGUUAUACCUACCACACAACCACUUUGUAAUGAAUAUGUUGGAAAUUAUAUGCAAAUUGGCUUCCGUUGGUGUUUGGAACAUAGUAGGUUUUUAACUGGAAUAUAAUAGCUACCAUUAUCAGUAUCAUCAUAUUAAUUUAUAUUUCCAUCUUCAGCCCUUAACCCAGGAUCUUCAGUAAAUGUUGAAUUCUCAAAUUUGUUAAAUUCACUUGUCUAUACUAAUAUUUUACUCUAGGUUUCUUAGAAUAUUCUAGAUAAUAUUAUUAUGUAGAAUAUGUUAUGUAAGCUUCAUCUUAUCUGUAAAUAUAGUUUUACUUUUUCCUUUCUAAUUUUUAUGUCGAUUACUUCUUUUUCUUGGCUUAUUGAAUUGGCUAGGAUUCCCGUACAGUGUUGAAUACGUGCAGCAAGACUGCACAUCUUGCCUUGUUCCUGGUCCCACAGAGAGAAUAUCCAGUACUUCACAAUAAGUAUGUGUUAAUUGUAGAUUUUAUUAGAUUGAGGAAGUUCCCUUUCCUUUCAAGUCAGUCUUUUUAUUUUAAACAUGUAUUGAAGUUUUGUCAAAUGUCUUCAUCUAUUGGAAUAAUUAUACAUAUCUCUUUUUUAUUCUGUUAAUAUUACAUUUCAAUCUUCUGUCUACCUAAAAUCCCUAGAAUAAUCUCCAUUUGGCUAUGAUGUGUUGUGCUUUUAUAUAUUACUGAAUUCUAUAUGCCAAUAUUAUUAAAAUUUUCUGUCUUUAUGA